GGGCCCGUAGCUCAGCCUGGAUAGAGCGGCGGCCUUCUAAGCCGUAGGUCGUGGGUUCGAAUCCCAUCGGGCCCGCCA
rnacentral:tRNA from 2 species